CAGCCGCCGCGGGAAAACCGAGGGUGCAAGCGUUAAUCGGAAUUACUGGGCGUAAAGCGCGCGUAGGUGGUUUGUUAAGUUGGAUGUGAAAUCCCCGGGCUCAACCUGGGAACUGCAUCCAAAACUGGCAAGCUAGAGUAUGGUAGAGGGUGGUGGAAUUUCCUGUGUAGCGGUGAAAUGCGUAGAUAUAGGAAGGAACACCAGUGGCGAAGGCGACCACCUGGACUGAUACUGACACUGAGGUGCGAAAGCGUGGGGAGCAAACAGGAUUAGAUACCCGAGUAGUCCCUGUCUCUUAUAC
rnacentral:rRNA from 1 species